rnacentral:rRNA from 1 species
GAUGAACGCUAGCGGCAGGCCUAACACAUGCAAGUCGAGGGGCAGCACGUCUUCGGAUGGUGGCGACCGGCGCACGGGUGCGUAACGCGUAUGCAACCUACCUCUUACAGUGGGAUAGCCCAGAGAAAUUUGGAUUAAUACCGCAUAGUAUACAGAUUCAGCAUUGGGACUGUAUUAAACAUUUAUGGGUAAGAGAUGGGCAUGCGUUCUAUUAGUUAGUUGGAGUGGUAACGGCACCCCAAGACAGCGAUAGAUAGGGGCCCUGAGAGGGGGAUCCCCCACACUGGUACUGAGACACGGACCAGACCUCCGUAC